rnacentral:rRNA from 1 species
UUGCCUACGGGAGGCAGCAGUGGGGAAUAUUGGGCAAUGGACGCAAGUCUGACCCAGCAACGCAGCGUGAAGGAUGACUGCCCUACGGGUUGUAAACUUCUUUUAUAAAGGAAUAAAGUGAGGCACGUGUGCCUUUUUGUAUGUACUUUAUGAAUAAGGAUCGGCUAACUCCGUGCCAGCAGCCGCGGUAAUACGGAGGAUCCGAGCGUUAUCCGGAUUUAUUGGGUUUAAAGGGAGCGUAGAUGGGUUGUUAAGUCAGUUGUGAAAGUUUGCGGCUCAACCGUAAAAUUGCAAUUGAUACUUGC